rnacentral:lncRNA from 1 species
ACAAGAAGACUUGGUAACAAGGUAAGAGAGAGAGAGAGAGAGGAAAACAAAAACAUGGUCAUCAUAGCAUCAGGCCAUGGCCUCAAACCGAGCCAAAAGAUCGACGGACAGUGAGAGGGAAAUAUGAAGAAAGUCGUCAAAAUAAAACCAUGGCGCCGGGCUGAAAUGGAGGUCCAUCAGCGCUCGCAUAUCGAAUAACCAUAGCACCUUCGAAGUCACGACUUCUGCCUGAACCAAGAAAAGAGUGAUGGAGUGGGAAUGGGAAAAAAAAAAGAAUAUAUUUUGGAAGACUAGAAGGACAUAUCUAAUGAUUCCCAACCACCGGGAAUAGGAGAGGAGGGCCAUGGUGUCUGGAUCGGACCACCUCGACCACGUUGGCUGUAGUAGAUCUUGCAAGCAGUGGGGAAGGAGCAAAUAAAACCAUGUACACCUCGCUAAUCAUCGAAAUAGUACGAAUCGGAGCUCGAUCCAGCUGUGGGAGUGGGUUGUAUGCCGAUCUGGAGACUGCCGGGGUGGCCGGGACUCGGGUGCAUGGGAGGAUGUGGGAGCCUGGAGCCGGGUGGCAGUGGACCUCUUCCCCUCUCUCUCCUAUGGUAAAAAGUCACCGGCGGCAAGGCGAAAGGGGGGGGGCCAAGAAGGGAAAAUGGGAAGGAAUAGUUUUAACCCCUGUCCGAGGGAUCUUAUAGAAAUAAUUUUAUCCCCUUGGACGAGAAAACAUGCUUUGCUUGGAACUUUUUC